rnacentral:lncRNA from 1 species
CAUGUAACUAUGUACCAUUCAGAUGUACAACAUGUAACUAUGUACCAUUCAGAUGUACAACAUGUAACUAUGUACCAUUCAGAUGUACAACAUGUAACUAUGUACCAUUCAGAUGUACAACAUGUAACUAUGUACCAUUCAGAUGUACAAUAUGUAACUAUGUACCAUUCAGACGACAGUAUCUCUGGUCUCUCAUAUCAUCUCUGUGCUUCCAGUCAGUGUGUUAAGGUGGGCUGAGUGUUUAGUGAGAGGAGACGACAGUAUCUCUGGUCUCUCAUAUCAUCUCUGUGCUUCCAGUCCGUGUGUUAAGGUGGGCUGAGUGUUUAGUGAGAGGAGACGACAGUAUCUCUGGUCUCUCAUAUCAUCUCUGUGCUUCCAGUCCGUGUGUUAAGGUGGGCUAAGUGUUUAGUGAGAGACAGUUCCUGUGUAAAUAACAUACAAGCUCCUGUGUUACUACACAGUGGGGAUGUACCCCUCAAAUGGCACCCUAUUCCCUAUAAUAGUGCACUACUUUUGACCAAAGCCACAUACAGUAGGGCACCAUAUAUACCUCCCUUCCUCUUCUCCCUCCCUCUCCUUCUUCUACUUUCUCCCUCUCUCUCCCCCUUCUCCCUCUCUCUCCCCCUUCUCCCUCUCUCUCCCUCCCUCUCCUUCUUCUACUUUCUCCCUCUCUCUCCCCCUUCUCCCUCUCUCUCCCUCUUCUCCCUCUCUCUCCCUCCCUCUCCUUCUUCUACUUUCUCCCUCUCUCUCCCCCUUCUCCCUCUCUCUCCCUCUUCUCCCUCUCUCUCCCUCCCUCUCCUUCUUCUACUUUCUCCCUCUCUCUCCCUCUUCUCCCUCUCUCUCCCUCCCUCUCCUUCUUCUACUUUCUCCCUCUCUCUCCCCCUUCUCCCUCUCUCUCCCUCUCUCUCCCUCUCUCUCCCUCCCUCUCCUUCUUCUACUCCCCCUUCCCCUUCUUCCCCCUUUCUUCCUCUCUUCCACUCCCCUCUCUCCCCCUGUCUCCCUCUCUCUCCC